UACGGGGGGAGCAAGCGUUGUUCGGAUUUACUGGGCGUAAAGGGCGCGUAGGCGGUCAGCACAAGUCAGUUGUGAAAUCUCCGGGCUUAACUCGGAAAGGUCAACUGAUACUGUGCGACUAGAGUGCGGAAGGGGCAACUGGAAUUCUUGGUGUAGCGGUGAAAUGCGUAGAUAUCAAGAGGAACACCUGCGGCGAAGGCGGCUCACUGGCCCGAUACUGACGCUGAGGCACGAAAGCGUGGGGAGCAAACAGG
rnacentral:rRNA from 1 species